rnacentral:tRNA from 5 species
GGGCCCGUAGUCGAAUGGCUAAGACAUCCCGUUUACACCGGGAAGAUUCGGAGUUCGAUUCUCCGCGGGCCCA